GAUGAAGAACGUAGCGAAAUGCGAUAAGUAGUGUGAAUUGCAGAAUUCAGUGAAUCAUCGAAUCUUUGAACGCACAUUGCGCCCCUUGGUAUUCCAUGGGGCAUGCUGUUCGAGCGUCAUUUGUACCUUCAAGCUUUGCUUGGUGUUGGGUGUUUGUCUCGCCUUUGCGUGUAGACUCGCCUUAAAAUAAUUGGCAGCCGGCGUAUUGAUUUCGGAGCGCAGUACAUCUCGCGCUUUGCACUCAUAACGACAGCGUCCAAAAGUACAUUUUACACUCUUGACCUCGGAUCAGGUAGGGAUACCCGCUGAACUUAAGCAUAUCAAUAAGCGGAGGA
rnacentral:misc_RNA from 1 species